rnacentral:rRNA from 1 species
AACGAUGUGGGAAGGCCCAGACAGCCAGGAUGUUGGCUUAGAAGCAGCCAUCAUUUAAAGAAAGCGUAAUAGCUCACUGGUCGAGUCGGCCUGCGCGGAAGAUGUAACGGGGCUAAACCAUGCACCGAAGCUGCGGCAGCGACGCUGAUGCGUUGUUGGGUAGGGGAGCGUUCUGUAAGCCUGCGAAGGUGGCCUGUGAGGGUUGCUGGAGGUAUCAGAAGUGCGAAUGCUGACAUAAGUAACGAUAAAGCGGGUGAAAAGCCCGCUCGCCGGAAGACCAAGGGUUCCUGUCCAACGUUAAUCGGGGCAGGGUGAGUCGACCCCUAAGGCGAGGCCGAAAGGCGUAGUCGAUGGGAAACGGGUUAAUAUUCCCGUACUUGGUGUUACUGCGAAGGGGGGACGGAGAAGGCUAUGUUGGCCGGGCGACGGUUGUCCCGGUUUAAGCGUGUAGGUGUGUGUUCCAGGUAAAUCCGGUUCACUUUAACACUGAGGCGUGAUGACGAGGCACUACGGUGCUGAAGCAACAAAUGCCCUGCUUCCAGGAAAAGCCUCUAAGCAUCAGGUAACAUCAAAUCGUACCCCAAACCGACACAGGUGGUCAGGUAGAGAAUACCAAGGCGCUUGAGAGAACUCGGGUGAAGGAACUAGGCAAAAUGGUGCCGUAACUUCGGGAGAAGGCACGCUGACACGUAGGUGAAGUGAUUUACUCAUGGAGCUGAAGUCAGUCGAAGAUACCAGCUGGCUGCAACUGUUUAUUAAAAACACAGCACUGUGCAAACACGAAAGUGGACGUAUACGGUGUGACGCCUGCCCGGUGCCGGAAGGUUAAUUGAUGGGGUCAGCGCAAGCGAAGCUCCUGAUCGAAGCCCCGGUAAACGGCGGCCGUAACUAUAACGGUCCUAAGGUAGCGAAAUUCCUUGUCGGGUAAGUUCCGACCUGCACGAAUGGCGUAAUGAUGGCCAGGCUGUCUCCACCCGAGACUCAGUGAAAUUGAACUCGCUGUGAAGAUGCAGUGUACCCGCGGCAAGACGGAAAGACCCCGUGAACCUUUACUAUAGCUUGACACUGAACAUUGAGCCUUGAUGUGUAGGAUAGGUGGGAGGCUUUGAAGUGUGGACGCCAGUCUGCAUGGAGCCGGCCUUGAAAUACCACCCUUUAAUGUUUGAUGUUCUAACGUGGACCCGUGAUCCGGGUUGCGGACAGUGUCUGGUGGGUAGUUUGACUGGGGCGGUCUCCUCCUAAAGAGUAACGGAGGAGCACGAAGGUUGGCUAAUCCUGGUCGGACAUCAGGAGGUUAGUGCAAUGGCAUAAGCCAGCUUGACUGCGAGCGUGACGGCGCGAGCAGGUGCGAAAGCAGGUCAUAGUGAUCCGGUGGUUCUGAAUGGAAGGGCCAUCGCUCAACGGAUAAAAGGUACUCCGGGGAUAACAGGCUGAUACCGCCCAAGAGUUCAUAUCGACGGCGGUGUUUGGCACCUCGAUGUCGGCUCAUCACAUCCUGGGGCUGAAGUAGGUCCCAAGGGUAUGGCUGUUCGCCAUUUAAAGUGGUACGCGAGCUGGGUUUAGAACGUCGUGAGACAGUUCGGUCCCUAUCUGCCGUGGGCGCUGGAGAACUGAGGGGGGCUGCUCCUAGUACGAGAGGACCGGAGUGGACGCAUCACUGGUGUUCGGGUUGUCAUGCCAAUGGCACUGCCCGGUAGCUAAAUGCGGAAGAGAUAAGUGCUGAAAGCAUCUAAGCACGAAACUUGCCCCGAGAUGAGUUCUCCCUGAGACUUAGAGUCUCCUGAAGGAACGUUGAAGACGACGACGUUGAUAGGCCGGGUGUGUAAGCGCAGCGAUGCGUUGAGCUAACCGGUACUAAUGAACCGUGAGGCUUAACCUUACA